UACGGAGGGUGCAAGCGUUAUCCGGAUUCACUGGGUUUAAAGGGUGCGUAGGUGGUUUUGUAAGUCAGUGGUGAAAGCCCGGAGCUUAACUCCGGAACUGCCAUUGAUACUGCUUAACUUGAAUCAACUUGAGGUGGAUGGAAUAUUACAUGUAGCGGUGAAAUGCUUAGAUAUGUAAUAGAACACCGAUUGCGAAGGCAGUUCACUAAGGUUGUAUUGACACUGAGGCACGAAAAGCGUGGGGAUCAAACAGGG
rnacentral:rRNA from 1 species